rnacentral:rRNA from 1 species
ACACAUGCAAGUCGAACGAGGGCUUCGGCCCUAGUGGCGCACGGGUGAGUAACGCGUGGGAACCUGCCCUGUGGUACGGAAUAACUCCGGGAAACUGGAGCUAAUACCGUAUGUGUCCUGCGGGACAAAGAUUUAUCGCCAUGGGAUGGGCCCGCGUAGGAUUAGCUUGUUGGUGGGGUAACGGCCUACCAAGGCUACGAUCCUUAGCUGGUCUGAGAGGAUGAUCAGCCACACUGGGACUGAGACACGGCCCAGACUCCUACGGGAGGCAGCAGUGGGGAAUAUUGGACAAUGGGCGCAAGCCUGAUCCAGCAAUGCCGCGUGAGUGAUGAAGGCCUUCGGGUUGUAAAGCUCUUUCGCACGCGACGAUGAUGACGGUAGCGUGAGAAGAAGCCCCGGCUAACUUCGUGCCAGCAGCCGCGGUAAUACGAAGGGGGCUAGCGUUGUUCGGAAUUACUGGGCGUAAAGGGCGCGUAGGCGGUACUUCAAGUCAGGCGUGAAAGCCCCGGGCUCAACCUGGGAACCGCGCUUGAGACUGGAGAACUAGAGUUCGGGAGAGGAUGGUGGAAUUCCCAGUGUAGAGGUGAAAUUCGUAGAUAUUGGGAAGAACACCGAUGGCGAAGGCAGCCAUCUGGACCGACACUGACGCUGAGGCGC